AGAGUUUGAUCCUGGCUCAGGAUGAACGCUAGCUACAGGCUUAACACAUGCAAGUCGAGGGGCAGCAUGGUCUUAGCUUGCUAAGGCCGAUGGCGACCGGCGCACGGGUGAGUAACACGUAUCCAACCUGCCGUCUACUCUUGGACAGCCUUCUGAAAGGAAGAUUAAUACAAGAUGGCAUCAUGAGUCCGCAUGUUCACAUGAUUAAAGGUAUUCCGGUAGACGAUGGGGAUGCGUUCCAUUAGAUAGUAGGCGGGGUAACGGCCCACCUAGUCUUCGAUGGAUAGGGGUUCUGAGAGGAAGGUCCCCCACAUUGGAACUGAGACACGGUCCAAACUCCUACGGGAGGCAGCAGUGAGGAAUAUUGGUCAAUGGACGAGAGUCUGAACCAGCCAAGUAGCGUGAAGGAUGACUGCCCUAUGGGUUGUAAACUUCUUUUAUACGGGAAUAAAGUGAGGCACGUGUGCCUUUUUGUAUGUACCGUAUGAAUAAGGAUCGGCUAACUCCGUGCCAGCAGCCGCGGUAAUACGGAGGAUCCGAGCGUUAUCCGGAUUUAUUGGGUUUAAAGGGAGCGUAGAUGGAUGUUUAAGUCAGUUGUGAAAGUUUGCGGCUCAACCGUAAAAUUGCAGUUGAUACUGGAUAUCUUGAGUGCAGUUGAGGCAGGCGGAAUUCGUGGUGUAGCGGUGAAAUGCUUAGAUAUCACGAAGAACUCCGAUUGCGAAGGCAGCUUACUGGACUGUAACUGACGCUGAUGCUCGAAAGUGUGGGUAUCAAACAGGAUUAGAUACCCUGGUAGUCCACACGGUAAACGAUGAAUACUCGCUGUUUGCGAUAUACAGCAAGCGGCCAAGCGAAAGCGUUAAGUAUUCCACCUGGGGAGUACGCCGGCAACGGUGAAACUCAAAGGAAUUGACGGGGGCCCGCACAAGCGGAGGAACAUGUGGUUUAA
rnacentral:rRNA from 1 species